rnacentral:rRNA from 1 species
UACGAAGGGGGCUAGCGUUGCUCGGAAUCACUGGGCGUAAAGGGUGCGUAGGCGGGUUUUAAGUCAGGGGUGAAAUCCUGGAGCUCAACUCCAGAACUGCCUUUGAUACUGAGAGCUUGAGUCCGGGAGAGGUGAGUGGAACUGCGAGUGUAGAGGUGAAAUUCGUAGAUAUUCGCAAGAACACCAGUGGCGAAGGCGGCUCACUGGCCCGGUACUGACGCUGAGGUGCGAAAGCGUGGGGAGCAAACAGG